rnacentral:lncRNA from 1 species
GGGCCCAGCCUGACACUCAGGACCCCCUACCACACGGAGAGGUCAGUCUGACUUCCCACCUUUGCUGGCAGGGCUCGGUGGCCUGGGGGUCGCUGGGCUGCCCCUGGGGACUCUGUGCGGGCUGAGCGCUGGGCUCCUGGACCCACCCUGCUGUGACCGCAGGCAGCGGUUUGCCCUCCCUCAGCCCCAUGCUGUGACUUUGUCCACAUAACCACGCGUCCCCGGAUCCCGGAACGUGGCGGCCGGUCCACAAGGGCUUGCCAAUCCAAGUGUCGGCAGCCCCCUCCUUUGCAGACAGGCUGCUGACCAAGGGGCUGCUGGAGACACCUGUCCUUCUGCUCACUCAGCCACACUGUGCAGGUGCUGAGCGGGGGGCGUCCAGGGAUCAGACCGAAUUGAGGCCAGUCCGGGUCUCAAGGGAGAUGAGCUCUGCAGGCAGGGGUGGGGCCUGGGGGGGUGAGGGGCCCCAGGGUCACAAGGUCACAGAGUUAGGGAGGCAGAGGGCCAGGUUCCGAGAGCCGAGGAAAAAUGCUGGGGUGACCCUGCGGAAACAGGGAGCCGCAGAGGGUGUCGAGAAAGUGAUCUGGCGACUGCGGCGGGAGCAUCAGGAUAGGCUCUGGAAUCGCAGGUAACCCGGUGACAGAGGCUCAGAGGGGCCAUCAAGGCCGCCAGCAACCGGCCGGGCUGCGUCCUCCCCCUCCUGGAGCAUCUGUCCUUCCACGACUUGAUUCGUGCCCCCAGUGACCCUUCGAGGGGCCUCCGACCCCACCUGCAGACAAAGGGACCCGGGCUGCGGGCACUGCUUCCCACUCACUUUUAUUGUUUUUCCCUUUUAAUUAAUUGAGAUAUAAUUCACAUUAUGCGAUUCACUGCUUUUGGAGUUCCCAUCGCGGCUCAGUGGGUCAAGAACCCGACUGGUGUCCAUGAGAAUUCGGUCCGAUCCCUGGCCUCGCUCAGUGGGGGGACCCGGCGUUGCUGCGACUGUGGUGUAGCCGGCAGCUACCGCUCUGAUUCAAAUGCCCAGCCUGGGAGCAUCCGUAUGCCACACCCGUGGCCCUAACCAGACAAAAAUUAAAUAAGAAAAAGCCCUGGACACAUCAGCAGCCACUCGCAAUUCUCUACCCCGUAUCCACAAAUCUACCUGCGUCCCUCCAGAUUCACCCCUUCUGGGCCUCACAGCGCGGUCCUGGGACCGGCACCCCGCUCAGCUGCACGUCUCUACUUCUGAGUGACUAACACGCUCCCUCAUCUUGCUCAUCCCUCCUCCGACAACAGGCGUUUGUGCUGUUUCCACUUUGGGGCUGCUGUGAACACUCACACCGAAAAACCUCUGUGUGGACAGAGGUUCGAAGCCUUUCGGCCGUAUGCCCGGAAGGGAAUGGCUGGGACCCGGGAGACUCCUUGCGGAAGUUCUCAGGCUCGGCCCGGCUCUUCUCCUCGGUGCCACGUGUGUGGGUUCCCAUCCCCACAUCCCCUGCAGCACUGUCCUUAAACCACCCUCCUGGGGAGGAAGUGGGAGCUCACUGGGGUUUUCGCUGGCGUUUUGCUAAUGACACAUCGAGCUUCUUCUCAUGUGCUCCUUGGCCACUUGCGUGUCUUCUCUGGGGAAAGGUCUGAGGUCUUCGGCCAUGUUUAAGCUGACUGUCUCUUUGGGGCCGCACCCGUGGCCUGUGGAAGUUCCCGGGCUAGGGGUCGAAUCAGAGCUGUAGCUGCUGGUCUACACCACAGCCACAGCAAAGCUAGAUCCAAGACACAUCUGUGACCUACAGUGCAGCUCACAGCAACGCCAGAUCCUUAACCCACUGAGCAGGGCCAAGGAUCGAACCCCCAUCCUCAUGGAGACUGGUCGGGUUCGUUACCACUGGGCCACAACGGGAGAUCCUGAUUGUCUCUUUCCUGUUGAAUAAGAGUUCUUACACAUUCUGGAUACUAUUCCCUUAUCAGAUACACGAUUUACACACAUUUUCUCUCAUUUCCUGAGUUGGUUUUUCACUUUUUUCUUUUUUUCUUUUGAGGGCCACCCCAGCGGCCCAUGGAGGGUCCCAGGCUAGGGGGUGAAUCAGAGCUGUAGCCGCCGGCCUGCACCAGAGCCGCAGCAACGCGGGAUCCGAGCCGCGUCUGCGACCGACACCACUGCUCACGGCAUCGCUUGGAUCCGUGACCCACUGAGCGAGGCCAGGGAUUGAACGUGCGUCCUCGUGGACUCCAGUCAGACAUGCUUCCACUGAGCCACAACAGGAACUCCCGGCUUUUCCUUUCCUGAAAUAUUCCUUUGAAACACCAAAGUGUUUACUGUUGAGAAAGUCCCAUCUAUCUUCUUUUUCUUUUGUUGCUCAUGCCUUUGGUGUCACAGCUAAGAAUCUAUCGUCAAAUCCAAGGUCAUAAAAUACAUAUGUGUUUUCUUC